rnacentral:rRNA from 1 species
AUUGAACGCUGGCGGCAGGCCUAACACAUGCAAGUCGAGCGGAUGAAGGGAGCUUGCUCCUGGAUUCAGCGGCGGACGGGUGAGUAAUGCCUAGGAAUCUGCCUGGUAGUGGGGGAUAACGUCAGGAAGCGGGCGCUAAUACCGCAUACGUCCUGAGGGAGAAAGUGGGGGAUCUUCGGACCUCACGCUAUCAGAUGAGCCUAGGUCGGAUUAGCUAGUUGGUGGGGUAAAGGCCUACCAAGGCGACGAUCCGUAACUGGUCUGAGGGGAUGAUCAGUCACACUGGAACUGAGACACGGUCCAGACUCCUACGGGAGGCAGCAGUGGGGAAUAUUGGACAAUGGGCGAAAGCCUGAUCCAGCCAUGCCGCGUGUGUGAAGAAGGUCUUCGGAUUGUAAAGCACUUUAAGUUGGGAGGAAGGGCAGUAAGUUAAUACCUUGCUGUUUUGACGUUACCAACAGAAUAAGCACCGGCUAACUUCGUG